UACAGAGGUCUCGAGCGUUAGGCGGAAUCACUGGGCUUAAAGCGUGUGUAGGCGGAUCGGUAAGUACCUUGUGAAAUCCCACAGCUUAACUGUGGAACUGCUUGGUAUACUGCCGGUCUUGAGCCAGCUAGGGGCUACCGGAACAAAUGGUGGAGCGGUGAAAUGCGUAGAUAUCAUUUGGAACGCCAAUGGGGAAAACAGGUAGCUGGGGCUGUGCUGACGCUGAGACACGAAAGCCAGGGGAGCAAACGGG
rnacentral:rRNA from 1 species